GUGCUUAUGGUGUAGUGGUUAUCACAUCUAUCUAACACACAGAAGGCCCCAGGUUCGAGCCCUGGUGAGCAGA
rnacentral:tRNA from 1 species